AACGAACGCUGGCGGCAUGCCUAACACAUGCAAGUCGAACGAGACCUUCGGGUCUAGUGGCGCACGGGUGCGUAACGCGUGGGGACCUGCCUUUAGGUUCGGAAUAACUCAGAGAAAUUUGAGCUAAUACCGGAUGAUGUCUUCGGACCAAAGAUUUAUCGCCUUUAGAUGGGCCCGCGUUGGAUUAGCUAGUUGGUGGGGUAAAGGCCUACCAAGGCGACGAUCCAUAGCUGGUCUGAGAGGAUGAUCAGCCACACUGGGACUGAGACACGGCCCAGACUCCUACGGGAGGCAGCAGUGGGGAAUAUUGGACAAUGGGCGAAAGCCUGACCCAGCAAUGCCGCGUGAGUGAUGAAGGCCUUAGGGUUGUAAAGCUCUUUUACCCGAGAUGAUAAUGACAGUAUCGGGAGAAUAAGCUCCGGCUAACUCCGUG
rnacentral:rRNA from 1 species